UUCAUCUGGCAGUGUGAGGAGACAUAAGAGGUGUAGAAUAAGUGGUGAGAUAUUACACCUCGGUUUGGUAUCGUCAAUGAAAUACCACUACUCUUAUUGUUUCCUUACUUACUUGAUUAAAUGGAACGUGUAUCAUUUCCUAGCCAUUAUACGGAUAUAUUUAUUAUAUCUUAUGGUAUUGGGUUUUGAUGCAAGCUUCUUGAUCAAAGUAUCACGAGUUUGUUAUAUAAUCGCAAACAAAUUCUUUAAUAAAACGAUGCAUUUAUGUAUUUUUGAUUUGAAAAUUUGGUAUAACUCCAAUUACUCAGGUAUGAUCCAAUUCAAGGACAUUGCCAGGUAGGGAGUUUGACUGGGGCGGUACAUCUCUCAAAUAAUAACGGAGGUGUCCCAAGGCCAGCUCAGUGCGGACAGAAGCCACACAUAGAGCAAAAGGGCAAAUGCUGACUUGAUCUCGGUGUUCAGUACACACAGGGACAGCAAAAGCUCGGCCUAUCGAUCCUUUUGGUUUAAAGAGUUUUUAACAAGAGGUGUCAGAAAAGUUACCAUAGGGAUAACUGGCUUGUGGCGGCCAAGCGUUCAUAGCGACGUCGCUUUUUGAUCCUUCGAUGUCGGCUCUUCCUAUCAUUGUGAAGCAAAAUUCACCAAGCGUUGGAUUGUUCACCCAUGCAAGGGAACGUGAGCUGGGUUUAGACCGUCGUGAGACAGGUUAGUUUUACCCUACUAAUGACAAAACGUUGUUGCGACAGCAUUCCUGCGUAGUACGAGAGGAACCGCAGGUACGGACCAAUGGCACAAUACUUGUUCGAGCGAACAGUGGUAUGACGCUACGUCCGUUGGAUUAUGCCUGAACGCCUCUAAGGUCGUAUCCGUGCUGGACUGCAAUGAUAAAUAAGGGGCAAUUUGCAUUGUAUGGCUUCUAAACCAUUUAAAGUUUAUAAUUUAUUUUAUAAACGACAAUGGAUGUGAUGCCAAUGUAAUUUGUAACAUAGUAAAUUAGGAGGAUCUUCGAUCACCUGAUGCCGCGCUAGUUACAUAUAAAAGCAUUAUUUAAUACAAUGACAAAGCCUAGAAUCAAUUGUAAACGACUUUUGUAACAGGCAAGGUGUUGUAAGUGGUUGAGCAGCUGCCAUACUGCGAUCCACUGAAGCUUAUCCUUUGCUUGAUGAUUCGA
rnacentral:ncRNA from 1 species